UACAGAGGGUGCAAGCGUUGUUCGGAAUUAUUGGGCGUAAAGGGCAGGUAGGUGGUCUACUAAGUCUGCUGUGAAAUCCCCGAGCUUAACUUGGGAAGUGCGGCGGAAACUACUAGACUAGAGUGCUGGAGGGGUGCGUGGAAUUCCCGGUGUAGCGGUGAAAUGCGUAGAUAUCCGAAGGAACAUCAGUCGGCGGAAAGCGGACCUUCCUGGACCCAGAACG
rnacentral:rRNA from 1 species